AAACUCUCUACCACCUUUCAGACGGUGACCCCUCUCGGCCUCCAUCAUCCAUCGCUACUAGCAGCUGUGUCUUCCAACCCGGCAGAUGUCUAAUGUCUUCAAAUAAACCUUCAUGAACUCCCCAGCAGGUGCCAUAGAUGAUUCUGACCCCAAUGAAGAGGACUGAUGGUUAUAUGGCCUCUCUAGGUUGGAAACUGCCAACUUACUACAUUUUCUAAAAAAUAGGCAUCAGGAAAAAAACGAACUGCUUGAGUGAUAGGAUUCUUGCCUGGCACAAUACCACCCAGAAUAAAUUUACUUUACCCAUCCUCCCUUGCAGCUGUGAAAGGAUGUCACAAAACCACAAAGCUGGACCAGUGGGAUGCAGGCAAACCUAAUCCUGACUAAUGCAAAUACCAAGAAUCCAAAGUUGAAAUGUUGACCCUGGAGACAGUGUUGGAGCAGCAAAGAAUGUUCUCACAUAAGGGGCUGAGCUAAGUGAAGAGUCCCUGGACUUCUGUAGACAUCACCCUGGCAGUCAGAGGGCCCCUUCCGGUUGGGAAAUUCACCACCACAGGGAUGGAACACAGGGGUGUUUGGUAUUUAAGUGUAUUUUAUUGAUAAUGAAAAGUUUUGUUUCCCUUAUUGUAAAAUCU
ensembl:lncRNA